UCAAAGAAUACAAGAUGAAAUUGGUGAUCAUUAUGAACAACAUGAUGAAUAGUGUUGUUUGAUUGAUUUGUAUGGAGGUGCUUGAGGUCAAGCACUUAAAGAAUGUAAUAAUUAGGAUCAUGAUUAACACAUCUAUUUCAAUUGAGAGUAUAGUUGGAUACAGUAAAAAGUACUAAAAAUAUAAAGGCAAAUAGUCUUGAAAAAUCAAGCCAACAACAAGAGAAACGUGAAUUUGAAAAGCAAUUUGAGUUUGAAGAUCAAAUAGAAAAGGAGUAACCUAAAGAACCUAAGAUCGAAGAAUCUG
rnacentral:misc_RNA from 1 species